CAUCAAACAGUUUCUACCUUUUUCCACUUUCGUGAACAUUUUUAAGUACGCAUGCAACUAUUUAUGCACAAUCAAAAUUCAUAUUACAUCGAUAAUAUGCAUAUUAUAUUUACAAGGAUCAAACAUAAUUUCGACUUACCAAAGUUGAGUUUGAGAAGGCGAAAUGAUGAUUACUGAGUCCGGAAUCAUGAAUAUGAUUCAUUAUUUUCCAUUGUUGAAUAAAAGCAUAUCUUUCUUCAAGUCGAACCUUCCCGUGAAAUUAGUGUCAUCAAACGAUCUACACGAACACGAUCUUGAUCCAUCAACUUGAUCAGCGCUAUAUUUCAUUCUCU
rnacentral:lncRNA from 1 species